rnacentral:rRNA from 1 species
GUCGAGAAUUUUUCUCAAUGGGGGAAACCCUGAAGGAGCGACGCCGCGUGGGGGAUGAAGGGCUUCGGCUCGUAAACCCCUGUCAUUUGUGAGCAAGUGUUAUUGUUUAAGAGAUGAUGACAUUGAUAGUAGCAAAAGAGGAAGGGACGGCUAACUCUGUGCCAGCAGCCGCGGUAAUACAGAGGUCCCAAGCGUUGUUCGGAAUCACUGGGCGUAAAGGGUGCGUAGGCGGUAUGGUAAGACUUGGGUGAAAUCUCCAUGCUUAACGUGGAGGGAGCCUGGGAGACUGCCGUGCUAGAGGAUUAGAAGGGAGACUGGAAUUCUUGGAGUAGCAGUGAAAUGCGUAGAUAUCAAGAGGAACACCAGUGGCGAAGGCGAGUCUCAGGACAAGACCUGACGCUGAGGCACGAAGGCCAGGGGAUCAAACGGGAUUAGAUACCCCAGUAGUCC